rnacentral:rRNA from 1 species
UACGUAGGGUGCGAGCGUUAAUCGGAAUUACUGGGCGUAAAGCGUGCGCAGGCGGUUUUGUAAGCCGGAUGUGAAAUCCCCGGGCUUAACCUGGGAAUGGCAUUCGGGACUGCAAGGCUGGAGUGCGGCAGAGGGAGACUGGAAUUCCUGGUGUAGCAGUGAAAAUGCGUAGAUAUCAGGAGGAACACCGAUGGCGAAGGCAGAUCUCUGGGCCGUAACUGACGCUGAGGAGCGAAAGCAUGGGGAGCGAACAGG